rnacentral:rRNA from 1 species
GGAUCCAGCCUUUGAUUCUGGCUCAGGACGAACGCUGGCGGCGUGCUUAACACAUGCAAGUCGAACGGAGAAUUUAUUUCGGUAAAUUCUUAGUGGCGAACGGGUGAGUAACGCGUAGGCAACCUGCCCUCCAGUUGGGGACAACAUUCCGAAAGGAAUGCUAAUACCGAAUGUGAUCCCUUUUCCGCAUGGAGAAGGGAUGAAAGAUGGCCUCUAUUUAUAAGCUAUCGCUGGAAGAUGGGCCUGCGUCUGAUUAGCUAGUUGGUGGGGUAACGGCUCACCAAGGCGAUGAUCAGUAGCCGGUCUGAGAGGAUGAACGGCCACAUUGGGACUGAGACACGGCCCAAACUCCUACGGGAGGCAGCAGUGGGGAAUCUUCCGCAAUGGACGAAAGUCUGACGGAGCAACGCCGCGUGAGUGAUGAAGGUCUUCGGAUUGUAAAACUCUGUUGUCAGGGACGAAUGUGCGAAUGUUGAAUAAGCAUUUGUAUUGACGGUACCUGACGAGGAAGCCACGGCUAACUACGUGCCAGCAGCCGCGGUAAUACGUAGGUGGCAAGCGUUGUCCGGAAUUAUUGGGCGUAAAGAGCAUGUAGGCGGGCUUUUAAGUCCGACGUGAAAAUGCGGGGCUUAACCCCGUAUGGCGUUGGAUACUGGAAGUCUUGAGUGCAGGAGAGGAAAGGGGAAUUCCCAGUGUAGCGGUGAAAUGCGUAGAUAUUGGGAGGAACACCAGUGGCGAAGGCGCCUUUCUGGACUGUGUCUGACGCUGAGAUGCGAAAGCCAGGGUAGCAAACGGGAUUAGAUACCCCGGUAGUCCUGGCCGUAAACGAUGGGUACUAGGUGUAGGAGGUAUCGACCCCUUCUGUGCCGGAGUUAACGCAAUAAGUACCCCGCCUGGGGACUACGAUCGCAAGAUUGCAACUCAAAUGAAUUGACGG